rnacentral:rRNA from 1 species
GUGCCAGCAGCCGCGGUAAUACGGAGGGUGCAAACGUUGCUCGGAAUCAUUGGGCGUAAAGCGCACGUAGGCGGUCCGACAAGUCGGAUGUGAAAGCCCUCGGCUCAACUGAGGAAGUGCAUUCGAAACUGUCGAACUUGAGUAUGGAAGAGGGUCUCGGAAUUCCCGGUGUAGAGGUGAAAUUCGUAGAUAUCGGGAGGAACACCAGUGGCGAAGGCGGAGACCUGGGCCAAUACUGACGCUGAGGUGCGAAAGCGUGGGGAGCAAACAGGAUUAGAAACCCGGGUAGUCC